rnacentral:rRNA from 1 species
UACGUAGGGGGCUAGCGUUGCUCGGAAUCACUGGGCGUAAAGGGUGCGUAGGCGGGUCUUUAAGUCAGGGGUGAAAUCCUGGAGCUCAACUCCAGAACUGCCUUUGAUACUGAGGGUCUUGAGUUCGGGAGAGGUGAGUGGAACUGCGAGUGUAGAGGUGAAAUUCGUAGAUAUUCGCAAGAACACCAGUGGCGAAGGCGGCUCACUGGCCCGAUACUGACGCUGAGGUGCGAAAGCGUGGGGAGCAAACAGG